AGAGUUUGAUCCUGGCUCAGGACGAACGCUGGCGGUGUGCCUCACACAUGCAAGUCGAACGGGGUAGCAAUACCCAGUGGCGGACGGGUGAGUAACACGUGGGAAUCUGCCUUCAGAAGGGGGAUAGCAGGCCGAAAGGCCUAUUAAUCCCGCAUAUGCCGAAAGGUAAAAGGAGCAAUCCGUCUGAAGAUGAGCCCGCGCCCGAUUAGCUAGUUGGUAAGGUAAAAGCUUACCAAGGCAACGAUCGGUAGCUGGUCUGAGAGGAUGAUCAGCCACAAUGGAACUGAGACACGGUCCAUACUCCUACGGGAGGCAGCAGUGGGGAAUUUUACACAAUGGGCGAAAGCCUGAUGUAGCGACACCGCGUGAGUGAAGAAGCCCUUUGGGGUGUAAAACUCUGUCAACAGGGACGAAACAAUGACGGUACCUGUGGAGGAAGCAUCGGCUAACUACGUGCCAGCAGCCGCGGUAAGACGUAGGAUGCGAGCGUUGUCCGGAUUUAUUGGGCGUAAAGAGUUCGUAGGUGGUUCGUUAAGUCUGGUGUUAAAGACUGGGGCUCAACCCUGGGAGUGCAUUGGAUACUGGCGGACUGGAGUGCAGUAGAGGCAAGCGGAAUUCCCAGUGUAGCGGUGAAAUGCGUAGAUAUUGGGAAGAACACCGGUGGCGCAAGCGGCUUGCUGGGCUGUAACUGACGCUGAGGAGCGAAAGCUAGGGGAGCGAAUGGGAUUAGAUACCCCAGUAGUCC
rnacentral:rRNA from 1 species